UGUCUUUGGAUGGGAAUCGAACCCACAAUGUUCCGCUUACCGGGCAGAUGCCAUGUCCACUAGGCUAGCCUGGAC